GUCUCGUUGUAACGGUCGACGUCGUAGUGAAUGGACCAAGGCGCAGCGGGUUGAGAGCUCAUGUUAACUUUUAUUGUGAACACCACUAAUAAACAAAACAAUAAACAAACAGUCUUGUAGGCUCACACAACAACCUCCCACCAAUCCCAUGACAAACACAUUCCUAUUUAUAUAUUCAAUCAGAGCGAACGAUAGAGAGCUGCCUCCAAUUGAAGGCCCCAACCCCAAUUAACUAAACAUAGAAAUAGAAAUGACUAGAGAGAACAUAGAAAUACACUAACAUAGAAAAAUGACAAAAACCCCGGAAUACAUUAACCAAACACCCCUCUACAUACACACAUACCCCGAACCAUAUAAAACAAAUACCCCCUGCCACGUCCUGACCAAACUAUAAUAGCAAAUAACCCCUUUACUGGUCAGGACGUGACGCUGGUGUAGCCUGAAUGACAUGAUGGACAAACAUAGGGAGCUCCUUAGAAAGCUCUGAUGUUGGUAAUACCAUACAAAUGGUUGUUUUGCACAUAAAAGUACAGAAUAUGAGGAUGAGGUUGAGGGUUGUUCUGGAAUUUCAAGAGAGCUGAAUUAUUCCUACUACUAUGGUAUAAAACCACUGUAAGUGUUGUUACAUAGAUGCUGUGUUCACUAUGCAUGAUUAAUACAUAAUUCAAGGUUUAUUUGAUGUAGUAAAUAAAUAAAUGAUUUAUUGAUGUAUAGAUAAGAAUUUAAAUGUGAUGUAACAGGUAAAUUAACGUUAGGCCAUUGUUUGUGUUUUUAUGUUCCAUCCCGGAACUAACGUUCUCUGUUGUGUUACUGCUACGGAAUUUGUUAAUUGACUGUGUGCAAUCUAACUUAAGCAGAUCUAAGUCUGAAUCAUAAUUGUUGAUGGCAGAGGCUAAGAAAGACAGUAAAGGGACUUUCAAGGGACUUUAAGGAUUCAAGAACCUCUUUUCAGGACAAGCAGCCAACGAGUUCUCACGGCGUGACGUGGAUGCAUCGGAGAAAAAGACGUGCAAUGCAAUAAACGCCCGUUUCAAAGAACCAACCUGUGUCUGUUGUCGUGAAGAGAGAUACAGUGAGAACUCGCCUGCUCAACACGGGUAGGAGAGACAACAAGACCGCCGCGGGUAACGACGCAACCAAGAUCCAGCAGAUCAGAUAAGCAAAGCCCAUGACAUUGUCGGCUUAGCGACAGCAAGCAACGGUGAUUGGACUGUGUUGAAAGCGCAACUUUUCAGGCCAAAAGCAAUCUACCACAACAUUCAAGUUAAGGUGGGAUGAGAAGUGGUUCUACUUGGAAAUUGCAACUAAGGACUCAGCUCUAUAAAUCGUACAUACUGUGCUUAGCCUACAUGUUUUGGGGAUAAAUCGAAUGUGCUGGUGUUUGUGGUUGUUAAGAGAUUUAAAGGGAAACUUAACUCCAUAAGCAAGUGAACACGUUUUGAGUAAAGAUAAAAGAUAAUCAUACAUUGAAAUUAAGAUUAGUGUUUUAUGAAAAGUGGUGUUAGCCAAGCUUAAAGAGCAAUUUAAGCAAAGUUUCAAAGGUACCUCCACUGAUGUGAAAUUAUUUUAUUAUGUGAAGUGAUAUGUGAUUUAAUGCAUUAUAUGCAUAUUCAUUCUGUGAUUAAGGUUUAUACUAAGUUUAUUUGUA